rnacentral:rRNA from 1 species
UACAGAGGUCUCAAGCGUUGUUCGGAAUUACUGGGCGUAAAGGGCGCGUAGGCGGCCCGCUAAGUCGAACGUGAAAUCCCCAGGCUCAACCUGGGAACUGCGUCCGAUACUGGCAGGCUUGAAUCCGGGAGAGGGAUGUGGAAUUCCAGGUGUAGCGGUGAAAUGCGUAGAGAUCGGGAGGAACACCCGUGGCGAAGGCGGCCAUCUGGACCAGCACUGACGCUGAGGCACGAAAGCGUGGGGAGCAAACAGG